ACGAACCGUGCGAACGUUGUUCGGAAUCACUGGGCUUAAAGGGCGCGUAGGCGGGCUGACAAGCCUGGGGUGAAAUGCCGCGGCCCAACCGUGGAACUGCCUCAGAUACUGUCGGCCUCGAGGAAGGUAGGGGCAUGCGGAACUGUAGGUGUAGCGGUGAAAUGCGUAGAUAUCUGGAGGAACACCGGUGGCGAAGGCGGCAUCCUGGACCGGUAUUGACGCUGAGGCGCGAAAGCCAGGGGAGCAAACGGGA
rnacentral:rRNA from 1 species